GACGAACGCUGGCGGCGUGCUUAACACAUGCAAGUCGAACGGAAAGGCCCUGCUUUUGUGGGGUGCUCGAGUGGCGAACGGGUGAGUAACACGUGAGUAACCUGCCCUUGACUUUAGGAUAACUUCAGGAAACUGGGGCUAAUACCGGAUAGGAGCUCCUGCUGCAUGGUGGGGGUUGGAAAGUUUCGGCGGUUGGGGAUGGACUCGCGGCUUAUCGGCUUGUUGGUGGGGUAGUGGCUUACCAAGGCUUUGACGGGUAGCCGGCCUGAGAGGGUGACCGGCCACAUUGGGACUGAGAUACGGCCCAGACUCCUACGGGAGGCAGCAGUGGGGAAUAUUGCACAAUGGGCGGAAGCCUGAUGCAGCAACGCCGCGUGCGGGAUGACGGCCUUCGGGUUGUAAACCGCUUUCGCCUGUGACGAAGCGUGAGUGACGGUAAUGGGUAAAGAAGCACCGGCUAACUACGUG
rnacentral:rRNA from 1 species